rnacentral:rRNA from 1 species
UACGUAGGGUGCAGGCGUUAAUCGGAAUUACUGGGCGUAAAGAGUGCGUAGGCGGUUCUUGAAGUCCGCUGUGAAAGCCCCGGGCUUAACCUGGGAAUGGCAGUGGAAACUGGGGGACUUGAAUUGAGCAGAGGGGGGUGGAAUGCCGCGUGUAGCAGUGAAAUGCGUAGAGAUGCGGCGGAACACCGAUGGCGAAGGCAGCCCCCUGGGCUUAAAUUGACGCUGAGGCACGAAAGCGUGGGGAGCAAACAGG